GUCUUUAUGGCAAAUGUGAGAUGCAGUGUAUGAAAUGUCAAAUUUCUAGUAUGAGAAAUUAACGAUUUAAGUCCUUCUUAAAUGAGGCCAUUUACCCAUAGAGGGUGCCAGGCCCGUAUAACGUUAAUGAUUACUAGAUAACAUUUUUAAAGAGUCGUGUUGCUUGAUAGUGCAGCACUAAGUGGGUGGUAAACUCCAUCUAAAAAUAAAUAUAACCAUGAGACCGAUAGUAAACAAGUACCGUGAGGGAAAGUUGAAAAGAACUCUGAAUAGAGAGUUAAAUAGUACGUGAAACUGCUUAGAGGUUAAGCCCGAUGAACCUGAAUAUCCAUAUUAUGGAAAAUUCAUCAUUAUGAUAUUAAUAUAUUAUAAUAAUAUAAKGGUGUGCAUUUUUUCUAUAAAGGACAUUGUAAUCUAUUAAUGUAAAUUUAUCAUAAGAUCGGCUUAAGUUUAUUCGAAUUAUUUUGCUUGCAAUUUAACAUAGAAUAAAUGCUUUCGAUUUGAUAAAGUGUUGAUAGAUUUUAUAUAUAGUGCUUAAAUAAUAUUUUAUAAUGGCGUAUCAAUCAUUGAUUUUUAUGUUUAAUUAUAUGCACUUAUAUGAUUAACAAUGCGAAAGAUUCAGGAUACCUUCGGGACCCGUCUUGAAACACGGACCAAGGAGUCUAACAUAUUUGCAAGUUAUUGAGUAAAACUUAAUAGCGAAAUUAACAUAACGUAAUGGGAUUAGUUUUUAGUAGUGCUAUUAAUUCAAUCCCGGGGCGUUCUAAUGGUUAUGUAUAAUAAUAUUUAUAUUAUUUAUACCUCUAACUAGAGCGUACCUUGAGCAUAUAUGCUGUGACCCGAAAGAUGGUGAACUAUACUUGAUCAGGUUGAAGUCAGGGGAAACCCUGAUGGAAGACCGAAACAGUUCUGACGUGCAAAUCGAUUGUCAGAAUUGAGUAUAGGGGCGAAAGACCAAUCGAACCAUCUAGUAGCUGGUUCCCUCCGAAGUUUCCCUCAGGAUAGCUGGUGCAUUUAAAAAUUGUGUAAAAUAAUCUUAUCUGGUAAAGCGAAUGAUUAGAGGCCUUAGGGUCGAAACGACCUUAACCUAUUCUCAAACUUUAAAUGGGUAAGAACCUCACCUUUCUUGGUAUGAAGGUAGUGGUUGUGAUAUAAUGUGCCCAGUGGGCCACUUUUGGUAAGCAGAACUGGCGCUGUGGGAUGAACCAAACGUAAUGUUACGGUGCCCAAAUUAACAACUCAUGCAGAUACCAUGAAAGGCGUU
rnacentral:rRNA from 1 species